AGUUCCAAAUCAAAUAAUCAUGUGUCCAGCUGGAGGGGAAGUCAGAAAAUCAGGAGCCUCUUAGUGAAAGAUAGUGGUGUGUAUCGAGUCUGACACCAAGCUGACCUUCCCACUUGAGGAAGAGGAAAUGAGUUCAAGUGGAACACACUGACACCCUACUCAGCUGCUCACAUACCCCAGAGCAGAAGGCCUCUCAAUUGCUUGAUGCUUCCAUCUGGGCCAGGACCAAGGAUAAACACUUCUGGGAAUCACCCAGCCACUGGGAUGCAUUGGAAAGUUCUAUACCCCCAUUACAGCCCUAUCCAUUCAUUCUCACACCCAAAUCUGGUUCGGCUCAGCUGGAUUGGAAGAGUUUUAAAAUAAAACAUAAAAGCAAACACUACUGUAGUGCUUACGCUGUGGGCCAAGUGCCGUUCCAAGCCCUUAUAUACAAUAAUGUUUUUAAUCCUCAAAAGAGCCCUAUGGGGGUAGGAAUGACUCUAUCAUCCCUAUUUUACAGAUGAGAAAACUAAGGCACACAUUUGAACCCAGGCAGUCAGGCUCUGGCACCAUCCUCUUAACCAGUUCCCUACGCUGCCCCUCAGCAGAGCAUCAAAAGCAGUGUUUUGCAGGCAGUGCGCACCUGAUGAAUCCAUCCCUCCUUUGACUUAGAUGGGCAGAUACCAAAAAGUGGACCGGAUGGCCAAGGCUAAACACUCCCGGUCGCUUGCCCGUCUCCCAGGACAGGGCUUGGGAUGAGGGAGCCAGGCUAGAGGGGGAAAGGCAGGGGACACAGGCAGUCCAUGGCAUAGAGGAGGCACUGGGCAGGCAGCAUGAAGCAGUUUGGCUUUGGUUUUGCCAUUCACGUGCUACGUGCUCCUCAAGUGGACCUCCCUCGUGCAUAAAAAAAGUUUUUUACCAGCACCUUUGGAGAAAGCUCAACGGGGACAAAGCUAGGAACCUCAUUAGUCGGUCUCCUCUUCCUCCCUAUUUCCUGAUCACUUAGGAAUGUGAGACCUCCUCGUGCUUCCAUCAGUAAAAAAAAAUACUGCUAUCCAAAACAACCAAUCAUUGACUAGGCUCUGGAUUCCAGUCUCGUAGACUUCCCAAAUGGGCAGCUCUUAAAAAGCCAGGUUGGGCUAGCCUGUUUCCUCUCCAGAUACAUACUAAGCACAGCCACGGGCAAAGCACCCACUGGUGUGUACAUAUGGAGGACACAAAGGCAAGUAAGCCACAACUUGUGCCUGUCCUCAAGGAGACCAUACUACGGUGGAGAGGGACGGAGAGUCUACAAAUACCUAUAAAAUAUAUGUAGGCCCAGCUCAACAGGGCAGAAAGAGGAAGUGGAGUUUUGCAAGAGAUUCUGUCUUUGCUUCAAGAUAGGGAACGGAAAAGAUAUCUGUUUUUCUGUACCUAACCUCUGUUCCCUGCAGUCUGGGUGACGGAACUUGUUUUUUCUUCUUCUUCUUUACCGAAUAGGGACCUGAGACCACCACCCAUUCCUCCCCCCUCAGCCUCACCCUGCAGAAGCCCAUCUAUGCCGAAUUCCUACAGCACCAGCUGAUGUUAUCUCUCCGCACAGGUUGCAUGCAAGGAUACAGGACAGAGGACCUGGUGAGCCCCGGUGGUGCUGGACAAAUGGUGCAUUCUGCCAGGUAGCGUACACGGGCUGAGCUCCAAGUUGUUUCUGCAGGAAGGUCCCCGAUUGUCCCAAGGGGGUGGUCACAGAAGCAAGUCAAACCUCUGGAAUCUUUGUUCAGUGAUGUGGGCAUUCACCCCACAUCCUCCAGACACGGUCUCACCCUGGAUGUGGAGCAAGGGUCUUGCUGGGCAACUAGAAAGGGUACCUGUCUCCAGGGUAACAAGAUCUAGAAGAUCUAGAGGCCUCAAGCAUUUCCCACCCAUUUCUGCUACGAGGCAGUGCUAUGGCUCUCAGUUUAUAUAUACUGGAGACAGUCUUAGAGAGGCUAGAAAUACAAAUACCGUCUGCUGGCAACCCCAUCUCUAUCCUCAAACUCUCCAGCUGCCCACUCACCAGAAACUACUGAUGUGGGUACAGGUGAGGGUAAGUGAAUCCAAUCAAUGAUCAAUUAAAAGUGUUUAUUUUUAAAUGGAAAGGGAGUAACACAGAGGCAACUUCUGGCAUCUUCUUUCUAGGCCAUCACCCCCACGUGCUCUCCAGCUCAAAGCACUGGCGGGAGGGGCCCCGGGACAGGCUGAGGGCCCAGACAGCUGCGAAGUCAGUCACAGAGAGAUCUGUACAAUUCUAGAGAGGUGGGAUUCAAGAGUCCUUCCCAGCCUCCUCAUCCUGGAGCAGGGCUAGAGCUCAGGGGCAUAGGGCUCUCCGGUGGGCGAGGGCACUCGCAGCUCAGCAUUGUGCCUUACCACGGUGAAGAGCCCCACCACCGCUAGCAGGGCCAUCACCAU